AUAGGGGAGCCGGAGGGAAACCGAGUCUUAAUUGGGCGUUAAGUUGCAGGGUAUAGACCCGAAACCCGGUGAUCUAGCCAUGGGCAGGUUGAAGGUUGGGUAACACUAACUGGAGGACCGAACCGACUAAUGUUGAAAAAUUAGCGGAUGAUCUGUGGCUGGGGGUGAAAGGCCAAUCAAACCGGGAGAUAGCUGGUUCUCCCCGAAAGCUAUUUAGGUAGCGCCUCGUGAAUUCAUCUCCGGGGGUAGAGCACUGUUUCGGCUAGGGGGCCAUCCCGGCUUACCAACCCGAUGCAAACUGCGAAUACCGGAGAAUGUUAUCACGGGAGACACACGGCGGGUGCUAACGUCCGUCGUGAAGAGGGAAACAACCCAGACCGCCAGCUAAGGUCCCAAAGUCAUGGUUAAGUGGGAAACGAUGUGGGAAGGCCCAGACAGCCAGGAUGUUGGCUUAGAAGCAGCCAUCAUUUAAAGAAAGCGUAAUAGCUCACUGGUCGAGUCGGCCUGCGCGGAAGAUGUAACGGGGCUAAACCAUGCACCGAAGCUGCGGCAGCGAACGUAUCACCCAAGACAACUUUACGGAGUUGACGAUUGACGGAGCGAAGCGACGUCAAAGCGUUCAUUAAAGUCGAGUUGGCUUAGGGAUACGUUCGUUGGGUAGGGGAGCGUUCUGUAAGCCUGUGAAGGUGUGUCGUGAGGCAUGCUGGAGGUAUCAGAAGUGCGAAUGCUGACAUAAGUAACGAUAAAGCGGGUGAAAAGCCCGCUCGCCGGAAGACCAAGGGUUCCUGUCCAACGUUAAUCGGGGCAGGGUGAGUCGACCCCUAAGGCGAGGCCGAAAGGCGUAGUCGAUGGGAAACGGGUUAAUAUUCCCGUACUUGGUGUUACUGCGAAGGGGGGACGGAGAAGGCUAUGUUGGCCGGGCGACGGUUGUCCCGGUUUAAGCGUGUAGGUGUGUGUUCCAGGUAAAUCCGGUUCACUUUAACACUGAGGCGUGACGACGAGGCACUACGGUGCUGAAGCAACAAAUGCCCUGCUUCCAGGAAAAGCCUCUAAGCAUCAGGUAACAUCAAAUCGUACCCCAAACCGACACAGGUGGUCAGGUAGAGAAUACCAAGGCGCUUGAGAGAACUCGGGUGAAGGAACUAGGCAAAAUGGUGCCGUAACUUCGGGAGAAGGCACGCUGACACGUAGGUGAAGUGAUUUACUCAUGGAGCUGAAGUCAGUCGAAGAUACCAGCUGGCUGCAACUGUUUAUUAAAAACACAGCACUGUGCAAACACGAAAGUGGACGUAUACGGUGUGACGCCUGCCCGGUGCCGGAAGGUUAAUUGAUGGGGUCAGCGCAAGCGAAGCUCCUGAUCGAAGCCCCGGUAAACGGCGGCCGUAACUAUAACGGUCCUAAGGUAGCGAAAUUCCUUGUCGGGUAAGUUCCGACCUGCACGAAUGGCGUAAUGAUGGCCAGGCUGUCUCCACCCGAGACUCAGUGAAAUUGAACUCGCUGUGAAGAUGCAGUGUACCCGCGGCAAGACGGAAAGACCCCGUGAACCUUUACUAUAGCUUGACACUGAACAUUGAGCCUUGAUGUGUAGGAUAGGUGGGAGGCUUUGAAGUGUGGACGCCAGUCUGCAUGGAGCCGACCUUGAAAUACCACCCUUUAAUGUUUGAUGUUCUAACGUGGACCCGUAAUCCGGGUUGCGGACAGUGUCUGGUGGGUAGUUUGACUGGGGCGGUCUCCUCCUAAAGAGUAACGGAGGAGCACGAAGGUUGGCUAAUCCUGGUCGGACAUCAGGAGGUUAGUGCAAUGGCAUAAGCCAGCUUGACUGCGAGCGUGACGGCGCGAGCAGGUGCGAAAGCAGGUCAUAGUGAUCCGGUGGUUCUGAAUGGAAGGGCCAUCGCUCAACGGAUAAAAGGUACUCCGGGGAUAACAGGCUGAUACCGCCCAAGAGUUCAUAUCGACGGCGGUGUUUGGCACCUCGAUGUCGGCUCAUCACAUCCUGGGGCUGAAGUAGGUCCCAAGGGUAUGGCUGUUCGCCAUUUAAAGUGGUACGCGAGCUGGGUUUAGAACGUCGUGAGACAGUUCGGUCCCUAUCUGCCGUGGGCGCUGGAGAACUGAGGGGGGCUGCUCCUAGUACGAGAGGACCGGAGUGGACGCAUCACUGGUGUUCGGGUUGUCAUGCCAAUGGCACUGCCCGGUAGCUAAAUGCGGAAGAGAUAAGUGCUGAAAGCAUCUAAGCACGAAACUUGCCCCGAGAUGAGUUCU
rnacentral:rRNA from 1 species